UCCAAAAACCUGGAAGGGACAAGGAGCAAGUCAUUAAGGAACCUCUACCUGUUUAAUUCAUCAGUGCUCUGCACAGCUGCAUGCUAUUCUAGCAUGCCCUAAAUGCCUUGCUGCUUGCUUUGAAGUUGGUUAAUCUGGUUUGGCUUUAUCUUAUCUUUUUUAGGAGGUAGUUUGAGAAUUAAAAGCUUGUGACUGACAGUGUUCUUCUUUCUGCUCUCCUGAGCUUUAUGCUAAACCUUUAUAGCUGUAAUUGUCUCAGAAGAGUGGAGCUUGCCUCAGGUGUAGCUUCCAUCUCCUGGUGCCCUCACUGCCUGCAGCGUUAAAGCUCUGCCUUUGCAGCACGUAGAAGAGCAACUGAGAGCUGGACCAUGUUCCAAGUUAAAAAUCAAUAUGUUAUGCACAAGAUGUCUCCAAAUUCAGCACUUUGUAAUUAGUCCAGGAGUCAGCACCCCUCUGUCAACAGCAGGAUCCAAGUCUUGUUGUGGAGGUUGUUCCUUCUGUGUGGUUUAGCCUUGUUUUGGUCCCUGUGCCUUGAUUCCCAUCAUGGCAGGGACGUACACAGAGUGAGAUGCUGAGGGGAACUUGGAGAGGGUCAGAGAGAGCACCAGACCUCAUCAAUGCCUGGCAGUAUCAGCAGAUACUGGAUUGAUUGCUGGGGAAGGAAAGAAGUUGCCAUGACUACUCACCGACUCUAUUAUGUGCAAUGGAGACACUAGCUGCCCCCAUGUCAGAGAAUUGCUGAGAACCAGACCCAGAGAGGAUUGCCAAAUUUUCCACUGAAUGCCAGAGGAAGAGGCACUGGGUCACGGUCACAUUGGAGACACCAGCAGUGACAUUAGCAUGUCCAGACCUUCAGUGCAAACUCUCCAGGAAUUAGAGCAUGUUCUGUGAUGCCUUCACUGCUGUGUCAGCUGAACUGUGACACCACCACAGUUUCGAUCAGCUUAUUGUACAACUAAAUGCAAAUACAAUGAGUCAAAGAAGGGUGCUGACCAAUGACUGAAUUCCCCCUAAAACUGAGUUUUGGCUGAGUGAUCAGCAAGAUAGAAUGACUGACACUGGAAUGAGUCUGCAGGGCACACAGCUCGGUGAUUAGUCAGUUCUCAUUACCUCUUCCUCCAAUUAACGUCAGCAAAUCAGUGCUCCUGAAUCAACGAGGACCUCGGGAGAAACGAAGCUUCCCCAAAACGCUGCCAGAUGUCAGCAGAAGCUCCGAUCCCCUCUCCUUGAUGGUUCUGUACUUUUAACACACAUAAUUAACUGUUAACACCGUCCUGUUUCUGUCACUCCAGCCCUUCACCCGUGCUCUGCUGAUGAAUGCUGUUGGUUUAGCUGUGAUGGAGGAGUCUGUGCCCAGCUCUGCUGCCUCCUGCUCCUGCACUUCAUCUCAUUUCCAUGCUCAUCCCAGCCAAGCAGGAGCCCAGCCUGAGAUCCCUUUUGUUACAGCUUCAUCACUCCAUUUGGCUCUUCCUCCCUCCUCCUUGCUGUCUUUGCAGUUUCCCUCCAACAGCAUUUGGCUUUUAUGGUCAGCCUCUGGAAGUGCAAUAUGAGUGAA